UGUCACCUACGGGGGGCAGCAGUCGAGAAUCACUCACAAUGGGGGAAACCCUGAUGGUGCGACGCCGCGUGGGGGAAUGAAGGUCUUCGUAUUGUAAACCCCUGUCAUGUGGGAGCAAAUUAAAAAGAUAGUACCACAAGAGGAAGAGACGGCUAACUCUGUGCCAGCAGCCGCGGUAACACAGAGGUCUCAAGUGUUGUUCGGAAUCACUGGGCGUAAAGCGUGCGUAGGCUGUUUCGUAAGUCGUGUGUGAAAGGCGCGGGCUCAACCCGCGGACGUCACAUGAUACUGCGAGACUAGAGUAA
rnacentral:rRNA from 1 species